rnacentral:lncRNA from 1 species
AAGGUGAAACCCCUGAAGGAGGGGGGCGGAUUUAAAUAGACCUCAGGGUCCAGCGCAAUAAUGAUUGCAGAUCUCUUUUGAUCGAUCUACAACCGCCGCGUGUCCCACUCGUCGUGGCAGACGGUUGACGACUGACAGAAUCGUUAUUGCACCGUACCUGGAGCAACGCUCCAGUGAAAAUUUCGAAAAAAUCUUUUCGGAUCGUCUCGAUUUGAAAAGACUCCAGCACUGGCACACCAAACGUCAAAAUAUCUGAAAACAAUCGAGUACGAAAAUCAAGGGGGGC